GGGGAAUUUUGGACAAUGGGCGAAAGCCUGAUCCAGCAAUGCCGCGUGCAGGAUGAAGGCCCUCGGGUUGUAAACUGCUUUUGUACGGAACGAAAAGCCUGGGGCUAAUAUCCCCGGGUCAUGACGGUACCGUAAGAAUAAGCACCGGCUAACUACGUGCCAGCAGCCGCGGUAAUACGUAGGGUGCAAGCGUUAAUCGGAAUUACUCGGCGUAAAGCGUGCGCAGGCGGUUUUGUAAGACAGUGGUGAAAUCCCCGGGCUCAACCUGGGAACUGCCAUUGUGACUGCAAGGCUAGGGUGCGGCAGAGGGGGAUGGAAUUCCGCGUGUAGCAGUGAAAUGCGUAGAUAUGCGGAGGAACACCGAUGGCGAAGGCAAUCCCCUGGGCCUGCACUGACGCUCAUGCACGAAAGCGUGGGGAGCAAACA
rnacentral:rRNA from 1 species